GCUGUGUCCUUCCUGGGUCCUAACACCAGCCUGUUAGGAGCCCCGGGAGCAGCUUCAGGACCUCAGGACCAGACAUGGACAGGGUUGCUGUGACUCAGCUCGCUGCAGUGACCCAGCUGAGCUCCUGAGCAAGCCUCUGAGCCUCUCUCCCUCGAGUUCCUCAUCUGCACAGUGGAGGUGACAUGCGUGCUCCACGGGGGAAGCAGGGCUGGGAAGGGACCCGCGUGCACUCCGCGUCCAGGAAACGCACCGUGAUCACCGCGGGAAAGCAGAAGACAGCGGCCAGCGACAAUCCCAGCCGUCCCAACUCCAGCUUACUUCCUAAAGAGGACAAGAACUUCACCUCCAGGCUCCACGGGGGAGGAGGCCAGGGGUGUCAAGACCUAAGGUUCUGCAGUGGUGGGAUGGAGCACGGGCCUUCGCAUGCUGGGCAAGUGUCUACUGCUGGACCACACCAGCCCUUCCGUUUAUGGGGUCUCGCGAAGCUGUGAUGCUCCUGCCUCAGCCUCCCGAGUAGCUGGGCACACGGGUGUGGCCUCACGCGUGGCCUCACACCCGGCCUGUGCACCUGCUCCUGACCCCACACCAGGCUGCAGGCCUAGGCCCACUUCUGCACCUGCCUGUCGCCACUCUCCUACUCAGGUCAAGACACAGAGCCCAAUUCCCUUCAAAGCAGUGUUUCCUAAAUC